GGGAAUGCAUUUUGCAUACAUCAUGAUAUGCUAUUCCUGUAAUAUCUAUUUUUACGUUUGCAUAUGCAGCCCACUAAACUACAAUUAUAUGCAGUAUAAGAUCAUUUAGAGGUGUAUUAACUUAAUUUCACAAAUUAAUUUUUAUGUUCCCUCUCCUCUGACAGUCUGAUUCCAAGCGCAAUCUCACUGCACUGUGAGGGCCUGAUCCAAAGCCCAUUCAAGUGAAUGACACUGCUGGGAGGUGCUUGGCAGUGUGGCCUAACUGAUAGCACAAUGGAUUGGGACUCCAGCAAUGUGGUUCUGUUCUCAGCUGUGCUGCUGGCCUUCUAGCUGACCUCAGGCAUGUCAAUUCACUCCUCUGUGCCUGCUUCCCCAUCUGUAGAAUGGGGGUAAUUCUAUUUACCUUCUUUGUAAAACACUUUGAGAAGUGGAGAUGCAAAGAACUAGAUAUUAUCUGACUAGACCUGUAAUCUGUACUUGUUUGAUCAUUUAAUGUGUGUUUGCAUUGCUCUGAAAGAAGAAUGAAGAACAACAUUAAAAAAGAGAAAGAAAUAAAAGCCCCAAGCCUAUCAAGAAAAAGAUUAGCUGUCAGAUACAGAAGUAUUAUGAAUUACUUUCUCACAGUGAAAUAUUACGAAAUGUACUGAGCAUCUUGAGUAAUAAAAUAUAAUAAAUGAU